AGGAUUAGGCCUAAAAGAUUUGACAGGCUUUCGGCCUUCCCAAACAGAAACAAAAUUAAAAGAAAAUAAAGCCUAGGGAAAAGACAAAAACAAUUAAAGCUUAUAGAAAAAAGGAAACGUAGAUUAAACCACUCUAGUCGAUUUAGGAACAGCUGGACGCCUCUUGCCAUCGUCUUUUCACAUCCUAAGUCUCAUCUGUUCAGUCGAUAACUCUACCAUACCUGGAGUAAUUUGCUAUCCGCUCCUCUUCAUCCUUCAUGAUUUGUAAAAAACCCUGAUACAAAUCUCAGUCUGGGUGUCUUCUCCACUGUCCCUCCGGAUUCGGGUGACUAAGCUCCGAUGCCGCUUUUACCAAGUUUGUGUCCUCUCAUUUUCUUAACGAUUAUUCUACAAUUUUGUGAGCGUAGGUAUUCUCUGAUCAAUUGAUAAACUGGAAACUGAUUUCUUGAAAAUACAUCUUCUUGGUUUUAAUAUCAGUAAUGAUUGCGUCUAUGACUGACUUGUCUUUCUUCAUUGACUAGCAUUUCCUCAUAACUGUGCGUGAAUCCCCCAUUAACGUUACUAAGGGAAAACCCAACGAAACUCCUAGGUUAAUUGCAUAAAAGUCCCGCAUAAGCUCGCUGCAAAAAGAGAUGGAACAUUGGUGUUAAGAAAGGUCCUUGUUGUUAAGAGUUUCCCCGUUCGAUUCCAAACCACCACGCUCGAUGCCGAUUUGAAAUUUCUCUUAUCGAAAGCUGCGUCGAAUUGAAUCAUGACCCUGGAAUAGGUAGCUUGCUGAUUAUGGCUUCUGUCUGUAUUCAAGAGCCCCAAACGACCUACAGUCUGCAACAGAAUGUACGACACUGUUUCGGGGUACUUCUCUUAAAGAUCCAGGACAGUGCCGAAAGACGUGGGAGUUGUCUUCUUCCCCAAGACCGCACCUAAGGCAUACUGUAAAAUCAGCCACUCAUUUGUACUUUAAAUUAACUAGAGUAGGAAUGUAGUUCUAGGAUAUCCUCCAUAUUGAAAUUAGGAUUUUUGAGGGUAGAUGUAGAUUCCAGAGUUUUUUGUAGAAAUCCUUCAAGUCAGCCUGUAUUAAUAAGUUAUUAGGAUUUAAGCUAGCAUCUUGUAAUAGUUUGUAGGCGCUUCUGGCUGAAAAUUCACCAGAUAGUUUUCCCUGCCACACUUGAAAAUCGUCGUUAAGAGUUUCCGUAAGAGGGAUCUGCAAAAUCAUUUGAGCAAUAUUUGCUGGAAAGGUAUUUUUAAUUAAAUCUGCCUUCCAAGUGUGAUUUGUAGCAUCUAUUAAAUCAAAAACUUUAUUCCAUUAACAUUCCUAUUGCUCCAAUCAUCAAUGCCCUUACUUGGAAUCCAACGAUCAUCCCAAAUGAAAAUUUCAGUUCCCCUUCCGGUUCUCCAACACAACCCACUCUGCAGUAUGCCCUUGGCAGCCCAAACACUCUUCCAGGUAAGAGAAGGCAAAGAUCCUAGUUCUUAAAACCGCUUCGCUGUGUAAGAACCACGAAAGAUCUGAAGUGCGCCGCCGCCAACCACAUUCUCAAUAAGAACAAGAAACAAUAAAACCUAAAGAAGACGUGCCAAAGAAGGCAGACUGUUUCGUGCUAGGGUAGCAGAUCUUGUUUCCUUUAAUUAAAUAGUUCGAGUUUAUAAGAUUUAAAAUUUACCUUUUCAGUUAUUAAUUUGUUAAUUUUUGGUGAAAAAUUGUUAAUUUUAAAACUUUGUUUAAAGUUAAAAGUUUCAUAAAAUUUUCAAUUUAAA